rnacentral:rRNA from 1 species
CAGUCGCCGCGGGAACACGAAGGGUGCAAGCGUUAAUCGGAAUUACUGGGCGUAAAGCGUGCGUAGGCGGUUUGUUAAGUCUGCUGUGAAAUCCCCGGGCUCAACCUGGGAAUGGCAGUGGAUACUGGCAAGCUAGAGUGUGUCAGAGGAUGGUGGAAUUCCCGGUGUAGCGGUGAAAUGCGUAGAGAUCGGGAGGAACAUCAGUGGCGAAGGCGGCCAUCUGGGACAACACUGACGCUGAGGCACGAAAGCGUGGGGAGCAAACAGGAUUAGAUACCCCAGUAGUCCCUGUCUCUUAUAA